AAUCAACGCUGGCGGCGCGCUUAACACAUGCAAGUCGAGCGAGAAAAGGGGGCAACCCCCGAGUAAAGCGGCGUACGGGUGAGUAACACGUGGAUUAUCUACCUUUUAGUGGGGAAUAACUUUGGGAAACCGAAGCUAAUACCGCAUAAGCCUGUAAAGGGAAAGCCCUAUUGUAAAAGAUGGGGCGCUGGAAUAAGAGUCCGCGGCCGAUUAGCUAGUUGGUGAGGUAAUGGCUCACCAAGGCGACGAUCGGUAGCCGGCCUGAGAGGGCACACGG
rnacentral:rRNA from 1 species